UAUUGUCAAGAUUAUCUUUCCAUCUGAAAAUUGUUUUCCUCAACCCAUCUGGGAAUUUAUCCUUCUCUGUUCAUAAAGUGAUGAAUGGUGAAAACAGAACAUUCUUGAACAUUUCUUGUCUCAUGAAUGCAGCUUAUGUCUUAAGUCUCUAUCGACCUUGGUGGAAAGAGAUGUUGAAUGAAAGAAUUGGAAAAUGUGGCACACCCUGCUACAAGAGUAAUUUGCAUUCCCCUGUUCAUGCUCUGGGUAUUAAUCAACUCUUUAAGUGACAUGCAACACCACCUUCCCCAAGCGAUCCUGGAGUGAAGAAAGUUGCAGACAAAUUAGCAAGUUUUGUAGC